GCCCGAGUGGCGCAAAGGUAGCGCAGCCGAUUUGUAAUCGGCCGGUUAGCGGGUUCGAAUCCCCUCUCGGGCU
rnacentral:tRNA from 1 species